AAGAGCAGUCAGUGCUCUUAAUCUCUGAGCCAUCUCCAGUCCCCAAAUGUAGUUUUUAACUAAGUUUCUAUUGUUCUAUUUACCAAUAAAGACUCAAGAGUCAGAGGCUGGGGUGAAAACUUGCUAGUUCAGAGAGGUUGAGGACCAAUUAGCUGACCUUCAGUCUUCAUCAUCAUCUCAGAAAGAGAGCAUCUUUUUCUGUUGCUCCAAAAAGACCACCACACUCAAAGUCCUCGUCCAUCUUACUUCCUGUGCCUCUCUAUCCUGUUUCUGGUCUUCUUCUGACUCUCUUUGACUAGUUUCUGUCAACUACUUGCUGUCUCUGCCUUCUGACCCAAGAUUGAUUUUAUUUAGUUAACACAAACGCAAACUUGAGGUUCACAGUAUGAUCAUGGUAAUUUAUAGCAGGGGCUGGGGCAGAUCAGUGGUAAAACAUGUGCUUAGGAAGGAUAGAUAGAUAGAUAGAUAGAUAGAUAGAUAGAUAGAUAGAUAGAUAGAUAGAUAGAUAGAUCAGUGGUAAAAACAUGUGCUUAAGAAGCACAGAUACAUACAUACAUACAUACAUGAUGGAUGGAUGGAUGGAUGGAUGGAUGGAUGGAUGGAUGGAUGGAUGAUAGAUAAUUGUAUUUGUAUAUGCAUGUUUAGCCUGGAGUAAAUGAUAUAAAACUAGAAUAUUUGUGAAAUGCAUGGGUUUGUGGCAUAGAGUAUACUCAAUGAAUGUUCUCUUUCUGUGCGAAUUUUGAAAUUUAAUUAUUAAAAAGUAUUUAUUAUGUGUGGAUGUUUUUCAUGCAUGUGUGUAUGUAUACCACAUGCAUGCGUGGUGCCCAUGGAAUCCAGAAGAGGGUUUUGGAACUUCUGAAAGUGGAGUUAGAAAUAGUUGUGAGCCACAGUGUUGGUGCUGAAAGAAUUGAACCUGGGUCCUUUGGAAGAGACCUAGCACUCUUAACCUCUGAGCCUUCUUCCCAGCCCUUGAAAUUUCAUUUUAUGUCACAGAUGCAAAGAAGAAAUGUUCAGGCUGCACAUCCAUUCACUUGAUGUGUUAGGUUCCAAGACCCUUUGCAAUGAAACAGACUAAGAGGGAAGUAGCAAUUUCUGUUGUGAAGUUUCUUAAUUGCUAGCUUGUAUCAUCAGAUCCUUAGAAUUUAAACAGUUAUCUUUUAUGGAUCUAGAUGCUGAGUGUGUGACCAAUUAAAGGGAAAGCAACCAGCCUGUAUUCCAUGCCUGACCCAUCUCUGUCGUUUGGAAAUUCGGGCCUGUCUAAAAGCAGAACACCUUCGUUCUGACAGUUUCAUCCAUCAGUUGCCACUUCCCAGAAGUCUGCAGACCUAUUUGCUCUAUGAAGAGGUUUUAAGGAUGAAUGAAAUUACAAGACCAGCAGCUAUUCAUAAUAGAGGAAUCAGUGAGGCUACCUGACAGCUCAUUUUUUAGUUUAGUCAUAAAAGGUGACUUGUGUGGUUGUUUGGAUUUGGGGGUAAUAGGAAAUGGUAACUAGUCUUCCCAAUUCCCCUCCUCCCCAAUAUUGUGAACCUUAUUCAUCCUGCCUUACAUAGUUUUGUCUCCAGUGCACUUUGUUGUAUAGUAUUUGUUUCCUUGACCAUUUUCUGUUUUAUUAUGCUAAUAAGCUAUGAUGCUGCUAUAGUGCUAGAUGUGACAUCUUUCCACUUAAGAUUCAUGUUCACCUGUACUCGAAGCUAAGGAUGGAAGUCACAAACUUCCCAGGAAGAAUAUAUAACAACUGUGCCUUUCAAUCACUUACCAUUGUUAUUAUUUUAUUUAAGAAUAUCGCCUGUGUUUAUAAAAAGAAAUAUUCCUGUGUUUUCAUAGUGUUCUUAAUUCAGCCAUAUUUAUGAGGUGUUGUUAUUCUUGCAUUUUCACAUGUAAACUCAGGGCAAAGGUUUUUUUUUUUUUUUUUUUUUAAGAGCAUAGAUUUCAGUCAUAUUGCUGGUCUCCUACUUCCUAGAACCUUUUUUAAUACUUUUUGCCAAAAAUAUAGCCCAUUUUUAGUCUUUAGCAAAGACAAGAACACACCUAAAUUCAAAGGCAUAAUCAAUAUAAAAAAUGUCAUUUUAGAAGUAUUGUACUCCACUUAGAAUAUUAAUAAGGAAACAUAAAAGGAGCAUUGCAGUCAUUGUGUGCUAAAUAUAGCAAUCAGGCUUCAUUCAGCUCCAGAAAAAGAGGGCAGCUUUUUUCCUAUGAAUAGCCAAUAAUAUUCUAUUAAUACAAUAUUUUUCCUUCUUAAUAUCUAAAUGUAUUUUUAGAACAUUGAUGAAAUAAAGACCUCAGAAUCCUUCCUUGUAAGUUUUUACAAUUGCUUUAUCUAAACCUCAAUUCAAGAAAAAUCAAACAUCAUCAAGACAGUUGUCUGAGAGACUUGAAACUAGCCUUGGGAGGAAGUUACUAAUGUGUUGCUGUCAUGAUAGGCAGCAUAGGCUGGUUUCUACAGGAGGCAGGCCUUCAUUUCUUCAUAGCAAUUUCCUGUGCUUAGAUAGAUUUUCUGGGCUCAUCUCUGAUAGGCCCUUGAAAGAAGCAUGAUAAAGGUUGACUUCAUUAGAACUGAUUGGGAAGACUGUCUCAUCUCUUACAUUCAAGUCUUGUUUGAUAUGGAUAUAAAGUUUGGUAUUGAAAAAUGAGGCAGAAAUUCUGAUUAGUUCAAUUUAAUAAAGAUAUUCCAAAAUUGUA